rnacentral:rRNA from 1 species
UACGUAGGGUGCGAGCGUUGUCCGGAAUUACUGGGCGUAAAGAGCUCGUAGGUGGUUUGUCGCGUUGUCCGUGAAAACUCACAGCUUAACUGUGGGCGUGCGGGCGAUACGGGCAGACUGGAGUACUGCAGGGGAGACUGGAAUUCCUGGUGUAGCGGUGGAAUGCGCAGAUAUCGAGGAGGAACACCGGUGGCGAAGGCGGGGUCUCUGGGCCGAUACUGA